rnacentral:misc_RNA from 1 species
GAAAUGCGAUAAGUAAUGUGAAUUGCAGAAUUCAGUGAAUCAUCGAAUCUUUGAACGCACAUUGCGCCCGCCAGUAUUCUGGCGGGCAUGCCUGUUCGAGCGUCAUUACAACCCUCAGGCCCCCGGGCCUGGCGUUGGGGAUCGGCGGAAGCCCCCUGCGGGCACAACGCCGUCCCCCAAAUACAGUGGCGGUCCCGCCGCAGCUUCCAUUGCGUAGUAGCUAACACCUCGCAACUGGAGAGCGGCGCGGCCACGCCGUGAAACACCCAACUUCUGAAUGUUGACCUCGAAUCAGGUAGGAAUACCCGCUGAACUUAAGC